rnacentral:lncRNA from 1 species
GAGAGCGCCGAGACGCGCGGGGCGCGGAGAUGUGCAAGUGGCGAAGCUUGACCGAGAGCAGGCUGGAGCAGCCGCCCAACUCCUGGCGCGGGAUCUGCUGAGGGGUCACGAUUUUAGGUGAUGGGCAAGUCAGAAAGUCAGAUGGAUAUAACUGAUAUCAACACUCCAAAGCCAAAGAAGAAACAGCGAUGGACUCCACUGGAGAUCAGCCUCUCGGUCCUUGUCCUGCUCCUCACCAUCAUAGCUGUGACAAUGAUCGCACUCUAUGCAACCUACGAUGAUGGUAUUUGCAAGUCAUCAGACUGCAUAAAAUCAGGUAAGAAAUGGUUUUUACGUGUAAUAGUUAUACAACUGAUGUAUAAUAUUUAAAAUUAAAUGCUAAUCUUAAUUUGCUUUGUUUACACUUUUAUUCAUUGUAGAUCAAUUAUUUAUGUGUCUGGCUCUAUAAUCAAUGGAAAUAAAAAUAUAUUUAAGUAGUAGAUUAAUUAACUUGUUUACUCUGAAAAAUAUAUUACUAUUUUCAGCCCUGGGCUGUAUAGCAGGGCAAUAGAAAACUAUAUCGCUAUUUGUAUGGAGCUUGCCAUGUAGUUGAAGAAAGAAAAUGAACACAUAUGAAAUGGUAAGUUUCGUAUCAUUGUGUUAAAUGUCUCAGUGCACCUCACUAGGUGGGUGAGAAGAAGGGAGUGAGAUGUAGGCAUGUAAAUCUAGGUGGAGAAGUUAAAAUCUGGGAAGAAAUUUCAUUUUAUUUAUUUUUUUUAUUUUUUAUAUUUUGAGACAGAGUCUCGCUCUGUCGCCCAAGCUGGAGUGCAGUGGCGUGAUCUCGGCUGACUGCAAUCUCCGCCUCCCGGGUUCUAGCAAUUCUCCUGCCUCAGCCUCCCAAGUAGCUGGGACUACAGGUACCCACCACCACGCCUGGCUAAUUCUGUAUUUUUGGUAGAGACGGGGUUUCAC